rnacentral:lncRNA from 1 species
GCAGCCUGACGAAUGGGCUUGGGUUGCCGUAAGAAGAAAACGAACAGAAAUUCUCCAAAUGCCUGAGUUCAAGAACCAAGCCCCCAAAAGAGUUUUUGAAAAGUCUGAUGAAACUUUAGAAAAAAACACUCUUAGGUUCUUUUCACCAAUAGCCAAAUAAACAUGAUAAAUCGAUUAAUAGCUUAGCUUGAGGAGCUUGUGGCAUGGGAGCUAAGCUUUCACAAGUUUAGCAAUUUGAGAGAGAGAGAGAGAGAGAGAGAAGCAUGGGUUUGUUGCAGAGGACGAAAGUUUGCAGUAAGACAGAGGAAAAUUAGAACGAUUUCUAUCUUAAGGGAAGAAGAAAAACAAACGAAGAAGAAGAUUAGGUGGCUUGAGUAAAUUCCCUGAUACUUGACAAAGCUUGGUCAGGCUCUGGUUGAUGGAUUAUCUGGGUUGCAGAAGCCUUCUUUUAUAGCCACAAAGAACCCUAAUUUCAUUUCCUUUUUCAUUACCUCUUUCCACUUUAUCUUCUCUGGUGAAAUUCUCCCAUCCAAGGUGCAUAGGUAAGGAGUUCUUUCUGGUUCCAAGGUUUUGACAUGGCUGGCCUUCUCCCAUAGGGAUGAAGCGCCACUAACUUUCUUCUUGAUUUUCCUAUGGGAGCUAACAGAGGAAAAGGUGGGAGUGGACAUGCUAUUUACCCAACGGGUAAACCUCUUGCUCGCAUGGAUUUCCUCUGGUUUUUAUGUUGGCUUCCGUUGACUCAUUUGGGCAAAGGCUGAACAUGUCUGCUAGAUAUUUUAUAGAGUGUUGGGUUGGGCUUUUUCCAAGGCCAUGGGUUGGGGAUAUUCUACUCUUCAGCGACUAGUCAGCUUAUUUUCGUUAAGCUGCUGGAAGCAGUUUGCCUGUUGCGUUUUUAACGAAGUAUUUGGGCAUUCUAAUCAACAUUGGGUUUUCUAAGCAAACUACUGUAUUCUUCCUAAGGCAUUGGGUCAUGUUCUCUCUCUCUCUCAUGCUAGCCCAUGUUUUGGAGCCAAGAAAUGGGUCCGAGUUUUGGUGCCCCCAAGUAGCCCAAAAUUCUCAUUCCUUGAUCCUUUAACUGGGCCUAGUGAAUGCCUGUACCCAUCCAUACCACAACCUUCUCAGCAAGCCCCGAGUAAUUUUGUGGCUUGGGCCCACUUAAGCUUGUGGCAUGGCUUGGUGUUAGAAUAAUAGCUCUUCUUACAUGACACCUACGCUUGUGCUUGAAUUUUGUUAUGCCGUAAUAUGCUAUAAUCGAGCCAAGUAAUACCGAAUGGGUAUGUGAGCGAAUUUAUGUAGGGUUGGCAUGCUCUUGGCCCUUUUCUGCGUGCUUACUUGGCAUGAUACGUGGCCCGUAGCUUGUAUUGGCGCGCCCUAUGAAUUCUCCUUUUGUCCUGAUUGAGCUUCUUUUGCGUUCAAUUAUCCGAGUUGGGCCAAGAAUUAAUUUGGGCUUAGCCCCUUGGAUUUUUUGGGCCUCAACACCUAACAGGUAGCGUACACAAGUUAGUACAUGUAAAUUACGUAAUAGGCCUCCGACCUUCAAAUAAUUUGAAACAGAACCUCCAGCAAUACUCUUAAGUCAAAUAGUACUCUAAACGAUGCAAAUAACGAAUUCGAACAAUUUUAUGAAUACCUACUGUAAUUAACAUAAAAAUAACUUCCCAAUUUCCAACACGAUCACAAGUAGUUUAAGGCCUCAGCCCUAAUCGUACAACAAUCCAAAACGGGUUUCAUACCUGUCUUGACCAGAACCCAUUUAAACAACCCUCUCUUAGUCAAACUGGAAUAUGCACUAACAUUUAAUCACGCCUCGGUUUCAAUUGAGCUUCAGAACCAACAACAAAGUCAGAAUCAACUCAUUAAAAACAAUAGAAGUAAGACUAGAUCCAAAAGACCAAAUUAAAGUUCCAGAAAUGACAUUUAGUCCGCGGAUGCACCUAGGUAAGACCCUAGGCUACUUACGUACCCCUUGUGAGGGAUCAAGCCACACGUAGUUCUUAGAUCAACUAUCACGAUUCAGAUAAUAUG